UACAGAGGGGGCAAGCGUUAUUCGGAAUUAUUGGGCGUAAAGGGCGCGUAGGCGGCCUGGCAAGUGGAAGGUGAAAUCCCUCGGCUUAACCGAGGAACUGCCUCCCAAACUGCUUGGCUUGAGACCGGGAGAGGUGAGUGGAAUUCCCAGUGUAGCGGUGAAAUGCGUAGAUAUCUGGAGGAACACCGGUGGCGAAGGCGGCAUCCUGGACCGACAUUGACGCUGAGGCGCGAAAGCCAGGGGAGCAAACGGGG
rnacentral:rRNA from 1 species